AAAGUCCUGAAGGAAGUGAUCUUGACGAGAAUAAAAGUAGACUGUAUUUUAUCUCUUUUUGCAUUUGCUAUAUUUGCAGUACUAAUUACCUCCUGUAUUGUUUUAAUGAAUACAUCACAACCUAUGAGAUGGAUGUUUUCUGGAUUAUUUUUUGAAGACCACAUAAACACAACAGGUAGAUGAAUGCUUAAAAUUAUCUCUGUUCUUAAAUGUUAAAUUUAUGACAUUUGAAGUUUUCUGUUACUUAAUUCAUGUGAAUCCUUGUCUUCAGAUUACGAACAGGAAAUGGCAUCACUUCUCUUACUGAUACAUCUCCUUCCACCACCACCAGGAGGACAGAAUUCUUAGAAAAUUAGUGCAUGUACUGCUGCUGAAAGACUUGUAGUGUUUCAUAAGUUUGGAGAAACACCUCAACAAUAACCAGCAUCAGCAUCCGUACCUCCUUGCUGUUGUCAGAAAAGUAAGAUCUUCUACAUUUUCUUGGAUAAGCAUCUCAUCCCAUGCCAGGCAAACCGCUCCCUUGGAGCAUUUGAUGUACUUGUCAAGGCACAUUUUGUGUUCAAGCUGUCAUAUGAUAGUGACCUUGUUAACUUUUACACAUUCCUCCAGACGUUGUACAACAUCGAUGUGGGGAAUAUGUGAGUCACUCAGAGUUAAAGACUUGAGCUAGACCACUUAACCAGACAGUAACAUUAACUUAAAGUCUGGGCAAUAUGAUUCUGAGAGAAUGCUGAUCUGUUGUAUUUGUCAGAAACAGCACCUCAACAGUCAACAGUUGAUGUCACAUAUAAGAGGUGAACAGAGUUACUAUCCUGGUUCUUUCUAUCAAUUCUGGCACUUGAUCCCUGACCACCUCAAAUUAUUUACGGACUUGUAUCCAGAUAAAAAUAAUCAUUUUAUGAUUAAUUACCCAUCUUCAAGGAAAAUUGGCCACUUAUUAUAUAUGUGGUCUAUAAUAUUCUAUAAGCCAAAUAAGAUGUUCAAAAAACUUUCAAAACUUUCAAAACCAUAAAAUCAUUUGCUAAAACUCAUCAGAUGGCCAUCGCUUUUCAUUGGGAAACCUUCACCCUCAAACAUAAGGAGUUUGUCCCAAUGAAACCUUUUUUAAUCACAGAAGAGAAUGUGGUCAGAAAUCAAACCUGUGAAAUGUCUAAAGAUGUUUUAUCAGCCAGCUGGGUUAAAGUUGAUGGUUUAGAAUAUAGAGCUGGACGUGUUGUUUGCAGUACAAUGGAAAGUAAAAUUCCAGUCUGCUGUUAAAUAAGUGAUAAACUUUUGAUUAAUAACUGCAUUAAUAUUUUGGCAAACAAACUAUUUACAGAGAAUUUUGAAGAACAUCUUCAUGCAUUCAGAGUACACUGAAGUGAGGAAAGGUGUUUUAUACAAAUGUCAGAUAUUACAGUUUGUAAGAUAUUUGAUCUUCAGAGCUCAUACAGUGUCGUGGAUGAAAGUUUGUACAUCAAACCUUCUUUUGUAAUGUUUUAAUUCAUGUAGAAAUUGUACUGCAAUGAGAGCUAAAAUAAACAAGUUGAUGGAA